rnacentral:sRNA from 17 species
GAUCUCCCUGACCUUGUGACCGUCCCAGAGCCUUCGGGCUGGGUGGCGCAGAGAAGCCCUCAACGCAGUCAGCGUGUAGGGCAGGUGGUAACGCUGGACCUGGGCGCCUUCGACUCUGCGA